GCUUUUUAUGUACCAAGUAAGUGGGACAUUUAUCACUUUAAAAACAUUCAACUUCAACUAUUCUGAGAUUAACCAAGAAGAAACCACUGAGAUGAGCAGACUAUUUAAUCAAUUUAGGGACUCUGGCUUUGAAUCUUAUUCAUAGAAAUGUCUACACUAAAUAUUAAACUACAAACACUCCUUAUUAUAAACCAAGACAGGGCAGGGUGGCAUCUUAGAUAUUAACUUGCCCAGAAAUGGUAGGCGGUCCCUAUGAAGGCUUAUGCCUUUCCAAACAAGUCAAUCUCUAAAAGAUGCUACCUUACCUUCUGUCUGACUGGAGACUAAUACAGUUAGCUACUCUGCAAUCCAAACUGAGACAGAGCUAUAUCUCACCUCAGAGGUUUAUAACAGCUGUCCAUAAUUAUUUUCAAAGCCAGGACCACGUCUUAACAUAAGAGUGCCUUGUGAAUGUCAUCCUUCCAAUUAGCAAUCAAGUACUAUCAUCAUCAUAAUGUACUGCAGAUAUGAAAAAUUACAUUAAGGAAGUACUUAAUGAACUUUCACCAUCUCUGAUAUAAUGAGUAUGCUGAAUCAUCUUUUUUCUCCUCUUUCCUUUUCCCACUCCCGGCUGCUGUUUUCUCUCACUGUGUCCUCUUGUCAAGGUACUGCCGCUACUCCAUUCCUUACUCAGAAUUGCAUGUUUCUAUAUCACGUUUCCCAUGCUUCCUUACAGGGUGGUCAGCUAUCUGGUCUGUAUCAGCACAUCUGAAAAAACGGGAUCACCAAAAGUAUCUAUUUUCCCCUUCUCUUAUGUAAUAUUAGCCUCUAGUGGACACAGAUUAUUUGGGUUAGCCUAACUUCAGCUCCAUUUAAUUUUCCAAGCUUUCUGCAUAGUAGAGCUUGAACUCUAGAAGCAUCUGAAAACAAGGAGAGCUGAUACUUUUUGUGCACUGUUCCCCGGUGCUACAUUAACUUCCAGGAGACCUUGUGCUAGUCCAGUGGGGAGUCAACCUUCUUGGCAGGUUUGCCACAAAAAUAGCCCCGCAUCCUUCCUAAGUGCCACUAUAGUCCCCUUCCUCUGCCUGAUCUGCUGCUCUUUGUUCCCUACUUUGUGCUCCCUGCUUUGCCUUCUGCUUCCUGUCCUAUUUGCUAUUAUGCUGCCUUGUCCCUUCCCUGACCUAUCACAUGCUACACAUGCUUGCUUGUCCCUUCCUUGACCUGCCUAUGCCACAUGUGGCACUCAAGUUCUGCCAGGGCCUUCCAAAUCACCCAAGUCUCUAGUGGGUGAAGGGGCUAUGUGCAAGUGCCAAAGAUCACUUUCCCUAGCUGUGGGAACCAAAGUCUCAGAGCCAAAAACAAAAUCUUACCAAAACAGAUGCGCUGUAUUCCUGGGUUUGGCAUAGCUGUUCUUACCAAAUAUGAAAAUAAUAUAGAUAUUGUCCUUCCUAUUCUACUCUUCAUGUCUUGUGCCAUCUUUCUCCAGUUUCCAACUGCACAGUGUUUCUCCUCUAACCUGAUGGAAUGCAGCUGGAGCUUUCCACAUGAUUUAAUGUUACCAAAAAUCAGCUAAUUAAUGGUUACCAGCCUUAGUACGGCUUUCCUCAUUUUCGGCAUGCAUUCUUCUUCAGCCUUUUGUUGCAUUUUAUUUCAAAUUUGACCAGGCCAUUUUGGGGGCAGGACCAUCUUCCUAUGCAUUUGUACAACACUAAGUACAAUGUAAUCCUAAUUACCAUGGGGGAAGAUGAAAGGUGGGGGGUGAACACAGCUGCAAUAUGAAGAAACUGUCCUCUUUUAACCCUAUAUUCUAUUCGUAAAAUCCUGACACGCUCAAAAAUACUGGUGCUUCUUCAGAGAAAGGAUUAACAUGACCCUUUCUUUCAAGAGACCUGUACAUGAUAGCAGAAGCUGAGGAGUAAUCUGCAAUUUUUUACAGAAUUUAAAAGGGAGGAUGUAUGUGCCUGGUGGGGUCAAGAAGAAAAAAAAAAUAAUAAUUCCCUCUGGUACAUGCCAAUACUGAUUUUUAAGGUCAGAUUUUCAAAGGUACUCAAACAGUCAUUUCAGCACAUCCCUGAAAUGCUUAGGACCCAGCAACUCUGAGAGAUCAUGAUGACAGCUUUUGGAUAUGAAAAAUCUUUUGAAAAAAAUCUGUCGUCUCAUUCAACUGCCUUAAUGGCAGUGGCUUAGGAAGUCUGGCUUACAAACUCUAUUUUGUUUCAUCGCUUUUGCCUUAAUUACUUGUCACAUUCCAUUCAUCUUGGCUCUUUUUAUUUUUUGCCUGUUUCACAUUGGAUCUUAGCCAACACACCACAAUAUUGUUGUGCUUGUAUUCAGACAGGGAUAUGAAAAGAACUGCUACUGGAAAUAAAGGUAAUUCCAUAAUAAAACACUUCCAUUUUCCAAUGUGAAGGCAACUGGUUACCCAUGUUUACAUGCAACACUGACUCCAUUCACCAGGCACAUUUUAGUUUUAUAAAACUAGAUUUUAGAUCAGUAGUUCUUAAUCUCAUUAGACUCAAAACUUGUCUU